UCAGGCAGGAACCCACGUUAAACCCUUGCCACAAAUUCUGGGCGUUGCAAACGUUCUUGAUGGGUAUAAAAUGACAGACUGACGGCCAACACUGAAACUACAUACAGAAUAUUCUGUAAUUUCGAGGCCAUAGUUUAAGUUAAAACGGUAAAAUGCUCAGAUUGUUUGUGCAACUGUGCACGAGCCUUUGUAUCGAUUUCGAACAUAAAAUGUAAACUCGCGUCAGUUAGGAGACAAAAAAAUUGUUACAAAAAAAUCUUGAGGUCGUGAUUAUGCUUUCCAUCCAUGGGAUGAAAGACAGACGGAAAGAAAUGUCUAAAGUGCUUUUGCUAUCAGUUUUGAUCAAAAGCAUAUAUAUAUAAAGCAUAUAAAUAUAUAUAUUAUGGACCUUUCGACGCAUAAUUCCAAGACGGAAAUAUUAUGACAGAUACGUGAUAACAGCAGAGAGACUAGUGAUGAAAACUAAUUUGUAUAUCGAUGCGUUUUAUCAAUUAAAAAGCCCCAAAACUAUUGUUUGUUAGUGUUCUUGUUGAAAGCAAUUCUACACUUUUAUUGAUUACUAUUAUUUCCCUUCGAGUGCUUGUUGGUGCUUGUGUCUAUGAACGUAUCUCUACAUAUACCAUAUGCAUAUAAUGUAAUCAUUUGCCGGGAAAAACAAUGGCAGACAAGGCAGACACAAUACAAUGACUCUGGCAUAUAAUUUUUGCUGUUGAAUAUAAAAGCCAAUUUGUUCAUCAUCACGAUCAACAACCAAAGCAACAACGCUAAAAUAGUUCAUUUAUGCAAACAAUAGUACAAACUAUAAAAUACCAACAACAAUUAUAAUAGGAUUUUCUUAAUACCUAUAAAAUCCGUACGCUUCUCUCUAUAUAUAGUUAUAGAUGUAGAUAUAAAUUUACGUACAAAAUGCCCAGCGACGCAAGUAGCAACCUGCUCGUCAAAAUCUGAAGAGCUCCUACGCCGACAUCAUGAAGCAAAUGAAGGCAGAGAUGAAGCCUGAUAAAGAAGGCAUUAACGUAGACAAAAUUCGCAGAACAAAGGCUGGAGACCUUCUAGUUCUUUAGCUGAAAAAAAGAGAUGGCAAAGCCAGUAAGCUGCAAAAGGCAUUGCCAUGCACAAUGGGAGAAAA